UACGGAGGGAGCUAGCGUUGUUCGGAAUUACUGGGCGUAAAGCGCAUGUAGGCGGCUUUGUAAGUUAGAUGUGAAAGCCCGGGGCUCAACUCCGGAACUGCCUUUAAGACUGCAUCGCUUGAAUCCAGGAGAGGUGAGUGGAAUUCCGAGUGUAGAGGUGAAAUGCGUAGAUAUCUGGAGGAACACCGGUGGCGAAGGCGGCAUCCUGGACCGACACUGACGCUGAGGAGCGAAAGCCAGGGGAGCAAACGGG
rnacentral:rRNA from 1 species